rnacentral:rRNA from 1 species
AGACGCUGGCGGCGUGCUUAACACAUGCAAGUCGAACGGAGAUUAUUAAUGAAGCUUGCGAUUUAAUAAUCGUUAGUGGCGGACGGGUGAGUAACGCGUGGGCAACCUACCCAUAAGCGGGGGAUAACAGUUGGAAACGACUGCUAAUACCGCAUAAGCUAUUGAGGUCGCAUGACCUAAAUAGUAAAGGUGGCGAAAGCUAUCACUUAUGGAUGGGCCCGCGUCUGAUUAGCUAGUUGGUGGGAUAGCAGCCUACCAAGGCAACGAUCAGUAGCCGGCCUGAGAGGGUGGACGGCCACACUGGGACUGAGACACGGCCCAGACUCCUACGGGAGGCAGCAGUGGGGAAUAUUGCGCAAUGGGGGAAACCCUGACGCAGCGACGCCGCGUGAGCGAAGAAGGCCUUAGGGUCGUAAAGCUCUGUUGUAAGGGACGAAUGUUUAUCUGGCGAACAGUCAGAUAAAGUGACGGUACCUUACCAGCAAGCCCCGGCUAACUACGUG